rnacentral:rRNA from 1 species
GAUGAACGCUAGCGGCAGGCUUAACACAUGCAAGUCGAGGGGUAUAGUUCUUCGGAAUUAGAGACCGGCGCACGGGUGCGUAACGCGUAUGCAAUCUACCUUUUACAGAGGGAUAGCCCAGAGAAAUUUGGAUUAAUACCUCAUAGUAUAGUACUUUGGCAUCAAGGAACUAUUAAAGUCACAACGGCAAAGAUGAGCAUGCGUCCCAUUAGCUAGUUGGUAAGGUAACGGCUUACCAAGGCUACGAUGGGUAGGGGUCCUGAGAGGGAGAUCCCCCACACUGGUACUGAGACACGGACCAGACUCCUACGGGAGGCAGCAGUGAGGAAUAUUGGACAAUGGGCGCAAGCCUCGAUCCAGCCACUGCCGCGUGCAGGAUGACGGUCCUAUGGAUUGUAAACUGCUUUAUACAGGAAGAACACUCCGAC